rnacentral:lncRNA from 1 species
AUUCACAUGCACAACAGUGAAGAAUUGCCGCCUUUUCAUACUGUUUUUGCUUUGCUUUUAGUUGAGUUUUUCUUUGCGUCUCUGUAUCAUGUUAAUUUUGGUUUUGAUGAAGAAAUAGAGGGUCCAAUGUUGAGGUUGAACACUUGGGUUUAAGGGCCAGUCAAGUCAUGUUUUGAUUGCAGAACUUGUUUGUAUAAAAUUAUCCUUUUGUUUGCAUGUUUUUUUUUUUUCUUUUUUCUCCAGUAAUCUUGGUUUGUUCGGAUUUUAAAAUUGUAUGUUAUGUGGCUUAGUUAAUUCUUCGGAUGUUUGGUUGAGAGAGCUCGAUCAAAUUUGGUGAAGUUGAAAUGCAUAAAUCUAAGUUCAGAAAUGACAAUGCAGCCAGCAUUCAUUUUAUGUUUGCAGAAUCAAGUUUCUCACGUAGCUGCAUGAUCAUUGCAUGAAAUAAUUCUGAAAAUCACACUUUGAUCCCCCAAGUUUCCCC